rnacentral:rRNA from 1 species
UACAGAGGUCUCAAGCGUUGUUCGGAUUCAUUGGGCGUAAAGGGUGCGUAGGUGGCGCGCUAAGUCAGGUGUGAAAUUUCGGAGCUUAACUCCGAAACUGCAUUUGAUACUGGCGUGCUUGAGGACUGGAGAGGAGACUGGAAUUCAUGGUGUAGCAGUGAAAUGCGUAGAGAUCAUGAGGAAGACCAGUGGCGAAGGCGGGUCUCUGGACAGUACCUGACACUGAGGCACGAAGGCCAGGGGAGCAAACGGG